rnacentral:rRNA from 1 species
GACGAACCGUGCGAACGUUGUUCGGAAUCACUGGGCUUAAAGGGCGCGUAGGCGGGCUGACAAGUCUGGGGUGAAAUGCCGCGGCUCAACCGUGGAACUGCCUCAGAUACUGUCGGCCUCGAGGAAGGUAGGGGCAUGCGGAACAUUGGGUGGAGCGGUGAAAUGCGUUGAUAUCCAAUGGAACUCCGGUGGCGAAAGCGGCGUGCUGGACCUUUUCUGACGCUGAGGCGCGAAAGCUAGGGAGCAACAGGG